AACGAACGCUGGCGGCGUGCUUAACACAUGCAAGUCGAGCGGAAAGGCCACUUCGGUGGUACUCGAGCGGCGAACGGGUGAGUAACACGUGAGUAAUCUGCCCUUGGCUUUGGGAUAGCCACCGGAAACGGUGAUUAAUACCGGAUACGACCACUUCUCGCAUGGGAUGGUGGUGGAAAGUUUUUCGGCCAGGGAUGUGCUCGCGGCCUAUCAGCUUGAUGGUGAGGUAAUGGCUCACCAUGGCUUCGACGGGUAGCCGGCCUGAGAGGGUGACCGGUCACACUGGGACUGAGACACGGCCCAGACUCCUACGGGAGGCAGCAGUGGGGAAUAUUGGACAAUGGGCGGAAGCCUGAUCCAGCAACGCCGCGUGAGGGAUGACGGCCUUCGGGUUGUAAACCUCUUUCGCCUGUGACGAAGCGCAAGUGACGGUAACAGGUAAAGAAGCACCGGCCAACUACGUGCCAGCAGCCGCAGUAACAC
rnacentral:rRNA from 1 species